UGUAUACCAAUCUGAGUUGGCUAAAUAUAUUCAAGUAAAAGAAUAAUAAAAUGAAAUAGUAUAAUAUAAUGGGUAUUGGGAUGACCAAAAGUGGGUCAUAAAACGGGUCAAAACUAACCAAUUUCAUGGGUUAUUACUUAGUAUUUCUCAUGUCUCAUGUAUGGAAGUUUUCUUAUUCUAUGGGAGAGUGCACAAGAGAAUUUACACAUAGAAAUUAGUAGGAUUCAGCUUUUUUUCUUUUGUUUUAUUCUUCUUUAUUGUUGUUUGUUUCCAC
rnacentral:lncRNA from 1 species